GGAGGAGUACCGAAGUGGUCAUAACGGGGCGGUCUUGAAAACCGUUUGGGUGUAAGCCCACGGGGGUUCGAAUCCCUCCUCCUCCGCCA
rnacentral:tRNA from 1 species